GAUAAACGCUAGCGGCAGGCUUAACACAUGCAAGUCGAGGGGCAGCAUAGAUUGUAGCAAUACAAUUGGUGGCGACCGGCGCACGGGUGCGUAACGCGUAUGCAACCUACCCGUCACAGGGGGAUAAUCCGGAGAAAUCUGGUCUAAUACCCCAUAACAUAUAGAUCGGCAUCGGUUCAUGUUGAAAUUUUAGGAGGUGACGGAUGGGCAUGCGUAGAAUUAGCUUGUUGGUGAGGUAACGGCUCACCAAGGCGACGAUGCGUAGGGGGACUGAGAGGUUUUCCCCCCACACUGGUACUGAGACACGGACCGGACUCCUACGGGAGGCAGCAGUGAGGAAUAUUGGUCAAUGGGCGCAAGCCUGAACCAGCCAUGCCGCGUGCAGGAUGACGGCUCUAUGAGUUGUAAACUGCUUUUGUACGAGGGUAAAGUGGGUUACGUGUAACCUUUUGAAAGUAUCGUACGAAUAAGGAUCGGCUAACUCCGUGCCAGCCGCCGCAGUAA
rnacentral:rRNA from 1 species